rnacentral:rRNA from 1 species
CCUACGGGAGGCAGCAGUGGGGAAUAUUGCGCAAUGGGCGAAAGCCUGACGCAGCGACGCCGCGUGAGGGAUGAAGGUCUUCGGAUCGUAAACCUCUGUCAGCAGGGAAGAACGGUCACUGUGCUAAUCAGCAGUGAAUUGACGGUACCUGCAAAGGAAGCACCGGCUAACUCCGUGCCAGCAGCCGCGGUAAUACGGAGGGUGCGAGCGUUAAUCGGAAUUACUGGGCGUAAGGCGCUCGUAGGCGGUAUGUCAAGUCAAGGGUGAAAUCCCCGCGCUCAACGUGGGAACUGCCUUUGAAACUGGCAGACUGGAGUGUGUGAGAGGAUAGUGGAAUUCGAGGUGUAGGAGUGAAAUCCGUAGAUAUCUGGAGGAACAUCAGUGGCGAAGGCGACUAUCUGGCACAUAACUGACGCUGAGGAGCGAAAGCGUGGGUAGCAAACAGGAUUAGAUACCCUUGUAGUC